rnacentral:rRNA from 1 species
GACGAACGCUGGCGGCGUGCUUAACACAUGCAAGUCGAACGGAGGGGCGAACGGGUGAGUAACAAGUGGGUGACCUGCCCUGCACUUCGGGAUAAGCCUGGGAAAAUGGGUCUAAUACCGGAUAGGGUUGGGUGGGCCCGCGGCCUAACAGCUUGUUGGGGGGGUAAUGGCCUACCAAGGCGGAGACGGGUAGCCGGCCUGAGAGGGGGGACGGCCACAUUGUGACUGCGACACGUCCCAUACUCCUACGGUAGGCAGCAGUGGUGAUUAUUGCGCAAUGGUCGGAAGCCUGAUGCAGCGACGCCGCGUGGGGGAUGCCGGCCUUCGGGUUGUAAACUCCUUUCACCAUCGACGCGGUAGAUGGAGAAGAAGCACCGGCUAACUACGUGCCAGCAGCCGCGGUAAUAC